ACGGGGUGCAGCAGGCGCGAAAACUUUACAAUGCUGGAAACAGCGAUAAGGGGACCUCGAGUGCCAGGAUACAAUCCUGGCUGUCGUAAUGCCUAAAAAGCAUUGCAUAGCAAGGGCCGGGCAAGACCGGUGCCAGCCGCCGCGGUAACACCGGCGGCUCGAGUGGUAACCGCUAUUAUUGGGUCUAAAGGGUCUGUAGCCGGCUGACUAAGUCUCUUGGGAAAUCUGACAGCUUAACUGUCAGGCUUUCAGGAGAUACUGAUCGGCUCGAGACCGGGAGAGGUGAGAGGUACCUCAGGGGUAGGGGUGAAAUCUUGUAAUCCUUGAGGGACCACCAGUGGCGAAGGCGUCUCACCAGAACGGAUCUGACGGCAAGGGACGAAAGCUAGGGGCGCGAACCGGAUUAGAUACCCGGGUAGUCCUAGCCGUAAACGAUACUCGCUAGGUGUCGGCCACGGUGCGACCGUGGUCGGUGCCGUAGGGAAGCCGUGAAGCGAGCCACCUGGGAAGUACGGCCGCAAGGCUGAAACUUGAAGGAAUUGGCGGGGGAGCAC
rnacentral:rRNA from 1 species